rnacentral:rRNA from 1 species
UUCGCAAUGCCCGAAAGGGUGACGAAGCGACGCCGCGUGGGCGAAGAAGGCCUUCGGGUUGUAAAACCCUGUCAGGAGUUAUGAAAUGUAAGUGCGCUAAUAUCGUGCUUAUUUGACAAAGGCUCCAAAGGAAGCCACGGCUAACUCUGUGCCAGCAGCCGCGGUAAUACAGAGGUGGCGAGCGUUGUUCGGAAUUAUUGGGCGUAAAGAGCACGUAGGUGGGUCUGCAAGUCAGAUGUGAAAGCCUUCUGUUCAACGGAAGAAUUGCAUCUGAAACUGCUAAUCUUGAGUAUAGGAGGGGAGAAUGGAACUUCUGGUGGAGCGGUGAAAUGCGUAGAUAUCAGAAGGAACGCCGGCGGCGAAAGCGAUUCUCUGGCCUAUUACUGACACUCAGUGUGCGAAAACUAGGGGAGCAAACGGGAUUAGAUACCCCGGUAGUCCUAGCCGUAAACGAUGGGCACUAAGUAGA